AGUGAGCGCUGGCGGUAGGCCUAACACAUGCAAGUCGAACGGCAGCACAGUAAGAGCUUGCUCUUACGGGUGGCGAGUGGCGGACGGGUGAGGAAUACAUCGGAAUCUACUUUUUCGUGGGGGAUAACGUAGGGAAACUUACGCCAAUACCGCAUACGACCUACGGGUGAAAGCAGGGGAUCUUCGGACCUUGCGCGAUUGAAUGAGCCGAUGUCGGAUUAGCUAGUUGGCGGGGUAAAGGCCCACCAAGGCGACGAUCCGUAGCUGGUCUGAGAGGAUGAUCAGCCACACUGGAACUGGGACACGGUCCAGACUCCUACGGGAGGCAGCAGUGGGGAAUAUUGGACAAUGGGCGCAAGCCUGAUCCAGCCAUACCGCGUGGGUGAAGAAGGCCUUCGGGUUGUAAAGCCCUUUUGUUGGGAAAGAAAAGCAGCAGGUUAAUACCCCGCUGUUCUGACGGUACCCAAAGAAUAAGCACCGGCUAACUUCGUG
rnacentral:rRNA from 1 species